UGCCGAUGAUGAGUUGCCAUGCUAAUACCGAUACACCAGGCUGGCUCUUUGCCAUCAGCUCUGGGUGUAGGUGCGUUGAACACUCCUUCUCGACACGGUGUGUGGAGAGCUGAGGCAG